UACAGAGGGUGCAAGCGUUAAUCGGAAUUACUGGGCGUAAAGCGUGCGCAGGCGGUUGUGCAAGACAGAUGUGAAAUCCCCGGGCUCAACCUGGGAACUGCAUUUGUGACUGCACGGCUAGAGUACGGUAGAGGGGGAUGGAAUUCCGCGUGUAGCAGUGAAAUGCGUAGAUAUGCGGAGGAACACCGAUGGCGAAGGCAAUCCCCUGGACCUGUACUGACGCUCAUGCACGAAAGCGUGGGGAGCAAACAGG
rnacentral:rRNA from 1 species